rnacentral:lncRNA from 1 species
GGCCACCCGUCGGCUGGAGGCUUUGGCCUGCUGCCCCUCCAGCAACACAUCCAGGCUCGGCAUGCGGUAUGGGCUGUGCGCUUCAUCAUAGCGGCCUUCGGGCUAUCUAACGCGUCAUGUGGGCCAGGGACAGGUGGAGCUGCAGGAACCACAGGUGGUACCGGGGGGCACGGGAGGGCAGAUGGUGGUCUCCAUCCCUGGGUCCGGACGCUCUCCGCCUAUUUGCUGCUCACCCACCCCGCCUUCCAACCGUGGGCCCUGACGACCGCCAGCCAAGCCGGGCCCCGACUCGGCGGAAGCGACCUACCCACGGAUAUCAGCCGGAUUGUGGGUGCCCUGGGACACCUACCACCGCUCCGGGAUAUCGAGACCAGCCCCCUGUCCCCCGGACCGUGGUGCUGGGCAACCGCGUUGUGGGGUAACCCGUUGCUCCCCAAUACCGGCGAGGCAGACCCAGACAGUUUGAACCGCCGCCCGGGCCUGGAGACGCACUUCGUGGGGAUCGCUACAUGCAGGAAACUGCAAACGGUGGGCGACCUAGUGCGGGUCUGGGACCUAGUGGUGCAUACUCGAGUGGCCUCCCUCCCCAGGUCGACCUGGCCCGAAUGG